UUUUAUACUCCUUUUUUUACACUCCUUUUUUAUACAUGGGUUUAAAAGAGAGAAAGUAAGGACAGAGGGGGUCGAGGUGGAUGUGUAAAUUUUAUUUACACUAAUUUUGUUGGUUACAAAAUGAGUUUCUUCAUUUGCCAAAGUCUUUUCCAUUGUAGUGUAGAUAUUUAUUUAUUUUUUCCAAAAUGAAAAAAGUAAAUUAGACUUGCACAGAUUUUUCCCUUUGAGUUGUUAACUUGUUUUAUGUUUUAAAAUUUUUUAUUUUAAGAUUUAUUACUUGCUAAUGUGUAUUCAAUUCAUUUUCUUUCUUGAGAGGAAUAAGAAGGUGUAGUAUGAUAAUAAAGGAAGAAGGGGGCUUGAUGAUGGGGUCAUGCGUCGGGGUCUCGGGCUCUAAGCUGAGGCUUUGUCAGCCUAUUACUUAAGAUGGUGGUACCGAGGUGAAGGUAAAAGAAAGUUAAAUCAUCCUUGAGUUGGAGAGCUUAGGUGACGAUGUGUACAUAUACGGUUGUUCGACCACGAUGACUAAGGGUUUAAAGAGGAACUAGGGUAAAAUCAUAUUUUGUCGCUUAGGUCGGCUGGUUGUAAAUCUUUUAUUGUAAUUAACAUUUUAAAUGUAUCUUGGGAUAUACUAUAAACGUUUUAGUGAAACGUUGUAUCUUUGACCAAAAUUUUUAAGCCUAAACCGUUAAUCA